rnacentral:rRNA from 1 species
UACGAAGGGGGCUAGCGUUGCUCGGAAUUACUGGGCGUAAAGCGCACGUAGGCGGCUUCUUAAGUCGGUGGUGAAAUCCUGGAGCUCAACUCCAGAACUGCCUUCGAUACUGGGAAGCUCGAGUCCGGGAGAGGUGAGUGGAACUGCGAGUCUGGGAAGCUCGAGUCCGUGAGAGGUGAGUGGAACUGCGAGUGUAGAGGUGAAAUUCGUAGAUAUUCGCAAGAACACCAGUGGCGAAGGCGGCUCACUGGCCCGGUACUGACGCUGAGGUGCGAAAGCGUGGGGAGCAAACAGG